UUUCAAAUUAUUAAUAUUAAACUAAUUCCCUAAUCUUUCAUUCCCGAAUUAACCCUGAAUCCUACUAUUACUACCCUGAUUCAAAAAUUUGUUCAAACUUCAAAAAUUAUCUAAAACUAAAAUCAUAUUACCAGCUAUAACCAAUUCACCUAAUCAAUUAACCAAAAAUAUUGCAGAUAUAACCAAUUCCUAAUCAAAU
rnacentral:lncRNA from 1 species